rnacentral:rRNA from 1 species
CCUACGGGAGGCAGCAGUGAGGAAUAUUGGUCAAUGGACGAGAGUCUGAACCAGCCAAGUAGCGUGAAGGAUGACUGCCCUAUGGGUUGUAAACUUCUUUUAUAAAGGAAUAAAACGAGGCACGUGUGCCUUUUUGCAUGUACUUUAUGAAUAAGGAUCGGCUAACUCCGUGCCAGCAGCCGCGGUAAUACGGAGGAUCCGAGCGUUAUCCGGAUUUAUUGGGUUUAAAGGGAGCGUAGAUGGGUUGUUAAGUCAGUUGUGAAAGUUUGCGGCUCAACCGUAAAAUUGCAUUUGAUACUGGCAGUCUAGAGAACAGUUGAGGUAGGCGGAAUGCGUGGUGUAGCGGUGAAAUGCUUAGAGAUCACAAAGAACCCCGAUUGCGAAGGCAGCUUACUAAGCUGUGACUGACAUUGAGGCACGAAAGUGUGGGUAUCAAACAGGAUUAGAUACCCGAGUAGUC